AUGAAUAUGACCCACUGGAGGCAGAAGACGCAGACGACUAUGAUGAUGAUGAUAAAGAUGAUGAAGACUCUAAUGGCAGAGACAGAAGAGAUGACCGGCGAGAUGAACGGAAAUCCAAAGAGAGGUCAUCUAAAGAUAAAGAUGAGAAGAAAAAACAGAUGGUGACGUUUAACAAGGAUCUGCUGAUGGCCUUUGUGUAC